UUGCCAGUCCUGGAGACUGAAGACCUCUUUCUAGCUACAGAACAGGUACAGAUGGGCAGCUGCAGUGCAAGCUUCUCCUCUAGAGGGAUCAUGUUAAGGGGUGAAAAAAUAGCCCAGUGUCCACUCCAUACUCUCCUUGGCUCCU
ensembl:misc_RNA